ensembl:lncRNA
GGAAGUGUUUCCGCCCGGACCGGAAAAACAGAACACCGGAACUUCCGGUAGCGCCGUAAGAAGGAAAAUCAGGGAAUUCGAUGCACCUGUGCCUAGUUAGGGACAGCGGUUGGUGAUUGGAGGAUACGCUGGACAAGGCAGUACUUAAGGCCAAGUUAUUUCACAGUCUGGGAGCUCUUUCUGGCUGGAAUUGUAUGAUUGUGAAGACAUCGCGAACCUUAAAGGUUGAGAAGUGAACGGAUUAUACGGCGAACUGAGACGACGUGAAAAAGGGGAUUGGAAGCGGCAUUGAUGUGAGUACUAAGAGCCAGUCGAAAGUGCCCUGUAUAUUGACCUGGCGUUGUGUAGAUCUCUCCAGGAGGAGGAGGGCGGCCCUACCCCUAAUAUAGCGUGGUGGGAGAGCCGAAGGAAUACUUAUUGAAGUAGUCACAACGACGACAUCACUAGCUAGGCCGCAUAUUCCAUCGCCAGAUCCGAACCAAGCGAAGUGAAGGAAGACGGGUGUCCUUUUCGUACACUGAGUGUGGUGGGUGAGUCUUCGUGCUGUGAAAACCUAUAAUUUUGAUGUGGUGUUGUAUAUUGCUGUGGGCUGCUGUGUAUUGCCGUGUGUCCUGUCAGAUAAACCCCCGCCUUCACGCACUUCGUCGCGGGAGGACAAGGAGACUGCUGGUCCUAGCCUAGUUCAGUACAGUAUAUGUUGUGAGCGUGCUUCAGAUCUCCGGAGAUAGCACGGUACGCUGUGUCCAGCCCAGAGGUGAAAGCCAUCCAAAGCAGAGUAACUGUGCUAUUGUGCCCAAAUUGAUAUCUGUGGAGAGAAAAGGAGAGAGAG